AGGACGAACGCUGGCGGCGUGCCUAACACAUGCAAGUCGAACGAGGUCCAUCCGGUAGCAAUACCGGAGAAGAUCAAGUGGCGAACGGGUGAGUAGCACGUGAGCAACCUGCCCCGAAGACCGGGACAACACCGGGAAACCGGUGCUAAUACCGGAUAUCCCCACCGAGUCGCAUGGCUUGGUGAGGAAAUGGAUUCCGCUUCGGGAGGGGCUCGCGGCCUAUCAGCUAGUUGGUGAGGUAACGGCUCACCAAGGCUUCGACGGGUAGCUGGUCUGAGAGGACGAUCAGCCACACUGGGACUGAGACACGGCCCAGACUCCUACGGGAGGCAGCAGUGGGGAAUCUUGCACAAUGGCGAAAGCCUGAUGCAGCAACGCCGCGUGAGGGACGAAGGCUUUCUGAGUUGUAAACCUCUUUCAGCAGGGACGAUUGUGACGGUACCUGCAGAAGAAGCCCGGCAACUACGUGCCAGCAGCCGCGGUAA
rnacentral:rRNA from 1 species